UACGGAGGGGGCUAUCGUUGUUCGGAAUUACUGGGCGUAAAGCGCACGUAGGCGGAUCAGAAAGUCAGAGGUGAAAUCCCAGGGCUCAACCUUGGAACUGCCUUUGAAACUCCUGAUCUUGAGGUCGAGAGAGGUGAGUGGAAUUCCGAGUGUAGAGGUGAAAUUCGUAGAUAUUCGGAGGAACACCAGUGGCGAAGGCGGCUCACUGGCUCGAUACUGACGCUGAGGUGCGAAAGCGUGGGGAGAAAACAGG
rnacentral:rRNA from 1 species